CACGACCCCAGGUCAGGCGGGACUACCCGCUGAGUUUAAGCAUAUAAAUAA
rnacentral:rRNA from 1 species